rfam:Gordonia paraffinivorans NBRC 108238 DNA, contig: GP2093.
CUGAAUGGUGCUCCUCGAUCUGGUCCGAUUGAUACCUUCGCAAGUUCAAUCAUCCCAGUUCAGGGCACCAUUCUUUAUUCACGACACGAAUCAGCGUGAAAG